rnacentral:rRNA from 1 species
UUGGAAACGGCAACUAAUACCGUAUACGCCCUACGGGGGAAAAAUUUAUUGCUAUUAGAUGAGCCUAUAUUAGAUUAGCUAGUUGGUGGAGUAAUAGCCUACCAAGGCAAUGAUCUAUAGCUGAUCUGAGAGGAUGAUCAGCCACACUGGAACUGAGAUACGGUCCAGACUCCUACGGGAGGCAGCAGUGGGGAAUAUUGGACAAUGGGCGAAAGCCUGAUCCAGCCAUGCCGCAUGAGUGAAGAAGGCCUUUGGGUUGUAAAGCUCUUUUAGUGAGGAAGAUAAUGACGGUACUCACAGAAGAAGUCCUGGCUAACUCCGUGCCAGCAGCCGCGGUAAUACGGAGAGGGCUAGCGUUAUUCGGAAUUAUUGGGCGUAAAGGGNNNNNNNNNNNNNNNNNNNNNNAAAAGUGAAAUCCCAAGGCUCAACCUUGGAAUUGCUUUUAAAAAUGAUAAUCUAGAGAUUGAAAGAGGAUAGAGGAAUUCCUAGUGUAGAGGUGAAAUUCGUAAAUAUUAGGAGGAACACCAGUGGCGAAGGCGUCUAUCUGGUUCAAAUCUGACGCUGAGGCGCGAAGGCGUGGGGAGCAAACAGGAUUAGAUACCCUGGUAGUCCACGCUGUAAACGAUGAAUGUUAAAUAUGGGAAGUUUUACUUUCUGUAUUACAGCUAACGCGUUAAACAUUCCGCCUGGGGACUACGGUCGCAAGAUUAAAA